rnacentral:lncRNA from 1 species
UCACUCUGCAGACAGAGUAGACUUGCCAGUGUUUGGGAUAAUAUACACAAUCCUCAAGUUCCUCGAUAGUCUUCUUUGUCUUUUUUGACCAACGAGUAAUAGGAAGUUCUAUUAAUUACUUAUAGAGGAAACAUACAAAAGGAACAAACAGGGAAGAGACAAUUUGAUUAUUUAAACUGUGACAGAACACAAAGUAGUACUCGAGUUCAACAGGAUUUGGAUGGUAAACUUGGAAGAAUGUCUAUGUUCUUCGGUAAACUUUGUAUUCUCAGAUCUAGAGGUGACCCACUUUAAUUUUUUUUUAUAACUCGGUAAUCGGCCCGAGAACCAACUAAUCCGGGGGACCAAUCUCACUGUCCAUUAGCGGGGGCCCAAUUAAAACCGGGGUAAAAUUCUGUAUGAAGUGGCCCAACUCAGGAAUUGAUAGCACCUAAGAGGUUUCAUACCAGAGACCUUGGAAAUGAGCAAAUCUCUAAGGUGCCUAGACCAUUAGGCCAAGCCCUUUAAAAUAGCAAUAGUGUG